rnacentral:tRNA from 1 species
GCCCGCCUAGCUCAAUUGGAUAGAGCGUCAGACUUUUAAUCUGAAGGCUGCGAGUUCGAUCCUCGCGGUGGGCU